GUGCCAGCAGCCGCGGUAAUACGGAGGGUGCGAGCGUUAAUCGGAAUUACUGGGCGUAAAGACGCAUGCAGGUGGUUUGUUUAAGUCAGAUGUGAAAGACCCGGGGCGUCAACCUCGGAAUUGCAUUUGUAAACUAGGCAAACUAAGAGUACUGUAGAGGGGGGUAGGAAGUUUCAGGUGUAGCGGUGAAAUAGCGUAGAGAUCUGAAGGAAUACCGGUGGCGAAGGCGGCCCCCUCGGACAGAUACUGACACUCAGAUGCGAAAGCGUGGGGAGCAAACAGGAUUAGAUACCCCUGGUAG
rnacentral:rRNA from 1 species